AUAAAAUAAGAAACCCUCGAGAUACAUUCACAUCAAACGUUUUUGCCCUAAUCAUCAACCAAAGAAGAGCGGCGAUGGAGAUGGAGAAGCAGAAGGAGAAGGAGAAGCAGGAACAGAAUGAAGAACAUCACAUUGACAAGAAGCAGAAGACGGAGAAUCAACAGGAUGAGGUUGUUAAAGCUCGUCGGCCUUUGAAACUGUCUCGCAAAAACACUCUGCACCCCAAAGAGAGCAUCCAUGACCUCCUCAGAUUCGGAUGCAGCGAAAAGUGAGUUUUUUUUUUUUUAGAUGAUUGUUAUUGUGUACAAUCUUCGUUUGGAAGAUAACAAUUAAUUCGAAC